rnacentral:tRNA from 3 species
UUAAUUGAAACCAAUAGAUGAGGUAAAUCAUUGUUAAUGAUUUCAUAGAAAUAAAUAUUUCCAAUUAAA